rnacentral:rRNA from 1 species
UACGGAGGGGGCUAGCGUUGUUCGGAAUUACUGGGCGUAAAGCGCGCGUAGGCGGACCUGCAAGUCGGGGGUGAAAGCCCGAGGCUCAACCUCGGAACUGCCUUCGAUACUGCGGGUCUCGAGUCCGGGAGAGGUGAGUGGAAUUCCUAGUGUAGAGGUGAAAUUCGUAGAUAUUAGGAAGAACACCAGUGGCGAAGGCGCUCCAGCUGGCCCGGUGCUGACGCUGAGGCGCGAAGGCGUGGGGAGCAAACAGG